rnacentral:misc_RNA from 1 species
AAAGGAUUUACCAAGUCCAAACCGCAACCCAACCGCGCCCACCUACACUCCCCACCCCGCCCCACCGACACAUACAAAGCGCAAGCGAACUCUUCUCCCCCCUGCCGCACAGACAACGCACCCGCCCCAUCCCGCACCGACACACCUGUAAAACGGUUCCUUCCCCAGCGCACGGCGCGUAUCUCACCACACACACACACACACACACACACACAUACGUCUGCAUCAUGUCCGACUCGAACUGGAAGGCUCAGCUGAACGCGCCGCAGAAGAGCACGCGGAAAAAGACGGAGGAUGUGGAGUCUCGCCGUAACGUCAACUUCGAGGAGUACGCCCUGCGCCGCGAGCUGCAGAUGGGCAUCUUCGAGAAGGGCUUCGAGAAGCCAAGCCCUGUGCAGGAGGAAGCCAUUCCUGUCGCGCUUCAGGGCAAGGACGUGCUUGCCCGUGCCAAGAACGUACUGGCAAGACAGCCUCAUUCGUGAUCCCAGUGCUCGAGAAGGUCGACACCCGCGAGUCGUAUGUCCAGGCUCUCCUGAUGGUGCCCACCCGUGAGCUGGCCCUGCAGACAGCGCAGGUGACAAAGGAGCUGGGCAAGCACAUCCCCGGCCUGGAGGUGAUGGUGACCACCGGUGGUACGACGCUGCGCGAUGAUAUUCUUCGCCUGACAAGCAAGGUGCACAUUCUGGUGGCGACUCCCGGCCGUGUGCUUGACCUGGCGAGCAAGAAGGCAGUUGACCUUUCUCACUGCCACAUCCUGGUGCUGGACGAGGCCGACAAGCUGCUCUCCCAGGAGUUCAUGGAGAUCAUCGACGACCUGUACACUUACCUCCCUUCUCAGCUGCAGUCCAUGCUCUUCUCUGCCACGUUCCCGGUGACGGUGAAGACGUUCGCGGAGCGCCACCUGCACAACCCCUACGAGAUCAACCUGAUGGACGAGCUGACUUUGAAGGGUGUAACGCAGUACUAUGCUUUCGUCGAGGAGCGCCAGAAGAUCCACUGCCUCAACACGCUCUUCAACAAGCUGCAAAUCAACCAGUCUAUCAUCUUCUGUAAUAGCGUCAACCGCGUGGAGCUACUCGCGAAGAAGAUUACUCAGCUCGGCUAUAGCUGCUACUACAUCCACGCUCGCAUGCAGCAGCAGCACCGUAAUCGCGUCUUCCACGACUUCCGCGAGGGCCACUGCCGUAACCUCGUCUGCUCCGAUCUCAUCACCCGUGGUAUCGAUAUUCAGGCCGUGAACGUCGUCAUCAACUUCGACUUCCCCAAGUACGCCGAAACGUACCUGCACCGCAUCGGCCGCUCCGGUCGCUUCGGUCAUCUCGGUGUCGCCAUCAACUUUGUGACGUACGAUGACCGCUAUAAUGUCUACCGCAUUGAGCAGGAGCUGGACACAGAGAUCAAGCCGAUCCCGGCUGAGAUCGACCCCGAGUUGUACGCAGCAUAAAGCAUGGCGGAGACGAUGUCACACGAGAAUUUUGCCCCUUCCUAAACAGGCACGCCCCAUGCACGCACACAGACGCAUACGUAUCAACAACAGGCGCCAAGUAUCGCCCUAGCAAUGAAUCGGAGUAUCGGAAAAUGAAAAAAAAAAGGAUGAAAAAGGAUUAGGGCGGGAGAAAGAAUAGCGGAUCCAAUACUGAGAGGUGGGAGGGGGUGCGGGGGGGGUGGCGGUGUGACGCAGCAGUAGCAGCAGCAAGGCUACGGCUGAUCGAGGACGGCUUGGUGAGGAGGGUCGCCGCCCUGGUGCGUGGUCAUCAUUCACAAGCGUAGAAAGAGGAAGAGAAGCGGUCGCUGACGCCGUUGCACGCGCAGAAAGCACGGCGCCAGCCAAAUUGUCGCGCGCCUCGUCCCUCCGUCUUUUUUCCCCUCCUCCCUCGAGUGCCUGCUCGCCUGCGACAUGUGCACGCCAUUAUGGCUAAGUUACAGGUUGUUUGGGACGUUCUGGGCCGGCGCGUUUUUGUGCGGAUAACAAGCCGGUAAGCGGCGCACGGUUGCACGCGCGGGACCUGCUCUGCAGGCAGAGGAACGAAGGGAGUAGGGCGACACGCAUGAGGUGCAGGUCUGGAGGCGCCAGUGCGCUCUUCAAGCUUCGCUGAGAUGAGCGUGGGCGAGGGCCGCCGGCUACGGAAGUGCGGAAACACGCACGCAGGACGCGACCUUACGUACACAUCUCUCCCUUUCUGUCUGUACACGACCGUUACCCCUCAGCGGCACUCCUGCGCGGCUGAACGCCGCCUCCCUCUGCUUCUCACGCGUGUCGAGUUUGACGUGGCGGUGAGCUGCCGCACCGGAGGGCGUGGGUACACGACUGUGCGGCCUUUUCUCUUUCCUCCUCUCCCACUCUUGUCCGUUUCUUGUUUUGUCCUGUGUGUGUCUCCCUCUCCCUCUCUUCCCUCUUCUCCCUCUCCCUAUCUCUCUCUUACCCCUUUUGUUUUGUUUUUGUUUUUCUUUGUUUUCGUUUCUCUAAAG